rnacentral:rRNA from 1 species
CGGACGGGUGAGUAAUGUCUGGGAAACUGCCCGAUGGAGGGGGAUAACUACUGGAAACGGUAGCUAAUACCGCAUAACGUCGCAAGACCAAAGAGGGGACCUUCGGGCCUCUUGCCAUCGGAUGUGCCCAGAUGGGAUUAGCUAGUAGGUGGGGUAACGGCUCACCUGGGCGACGAUCCCUAGCUGGUCUGAGAGGAUGACCAGCCACACUGGAACUGAGACACGGUCCAG